rnacentral:rRNA from 1 species
GACAGAGGGUGCAAACGUUGUUCGGAAUUACUGGGCGUAAAGAGCGCGCAGGCGGUCGUUCAAGUCGCGUGUGAAAGCCCCCGGCUCAACUGGGGAGGGUCACGCGAUACUGAUCGACUCGAAGGCAGGAGAGGGAAGUGGAAUUCCCGGUGUAGUGGUGAAAUGCGUAGAUAUCGGGAGGAACACCAGUGGCGAAGGCGACUUCCUGGCCUGUUCUUGACGCUGAGGCGCGAAAGCUAGGGUAGCAAACGGG